rnacentral:rRNA from 1 species
CGGGGAGAGUGGCGCACGGGUGAGUAACACAUGGCUGACCUGCCCUUCAGAGGGGGACAACCACUAGAAAUGGUGGCUAAUACCCCAUAUGCUCACGGGAUUUAGAAACUUGUGAGGAAAAGCUCCGGCGCUGAAGGAGGGGGCUGUGGCCCAUCAGUUAGUUGGUGUGGUAACGGCGCACCAAGGCGAGGACGGGUAGGGGGCCUGAGAGGGUGACCCCCCACACGGGUGCUGAGACACGGACCCG